rnacentral:rRNA from 1 species
AGAUUAAGUUAUUAAGGGCGCACGGUGGAUGCCUUGGCACUAGAAGCCGAUGAAGGACGUUACUAACGACGAUAUGCUUUGGGGAGCUGUAAGUAAGCUUUGAUCCAGAGAUUUCCGAAUGGGGAAACCCAGCAUGAGUUAUGUCAUGUUAUCGAUAUGUGAAUACAUAGCAUAUCAGAAGGCACACCCGGAGAACUGAAACAUCUUAGUACCCGGAGGAAGAAAAAGAAAAUUCGAUUCCCUUAGUAGCGGCGAGCGAAACGGGAAGAGCCCAAACCAACAAGCUUGCUUGUUGGGGUUGUAGGACACUCUAUACGGAGUUACAAAGGACGACAUUAGACGAAUCAUCUGGAAAGAUGAAUCAAAGAAGGUAAUAAUCCUGUAGUCGAAAAUGUUGUCUCUCUUGAGUGGAUCCUGAGUACGACGGAACACGUGAAAUUCCGUCGGAAUCUGGGAGGACCAUCUCCUAAGGCUAAAUACUCUCUAGUGACCGAUAGUGAACCAGUACCGUGAGGGAAAGGUGAAAAGCACCCCGGAAGGGGAGUGAAAUAGAACCUGAAACCGUGUGCUUACAAGUAGUCAGAGCCCGUUAAUGGGUGAUGGCGUGCCUUUUGUAGAAUGAACCGGCGAGUUACGAUUUGAUGCAAGGUUAAGCAGUAAAUGUGGAGCCGUAGCGAAAGCGAGUCUGAAUAGGGCGUUUAGUAUUUGGUCGUAGACCCGAAACCAGGUGAUCUACCCUUGGUCAGGUUGAAGUUCAGGUAACACUGAAUGGAGGACCGAACCGACUUACGUUGAAAAGUGAGCGGAUGAACUGAGGGUAGCGGAGAAAUUCCAAUCGAACCUGGACAUAGCUGGUUCUCUCCGAAAUAGCUUUAGGGCUAGCCUCAAGUGAUGAUUAUUGGAGGUAGAGCACUGUUUGGACGAGGGGCCCCUCUCGGGUUACCGAAUUCAGACAAACUCCGAAUGCCAAUUAAUUUAACUUGGGAGUCAGAACAUGGGUGAUAAGGUCCGUGUUCGAAAGGGAAACAGCCCAGACCACCAGCUAAGGUCCCAAAAUAUAUGUUAAGUGGAAAAGGAUGUGGCGUUGCCCAGACAACUAGGAUGUUGGCUUAGAAGCAGCCAUCAUUUAAAGAGUGCGUAAUAGCUCACUAGUCGAGUGACACUGCGCCGAAAAUGUACCGGGGCUAAACAUAUUACCGAAGCUGUGGAUUGUCCUUUGGACAAUGGUAGGAGAGCGUUCUAAGGGCGUUGAAGCAUGAUCGUAAGGACAUGUGGAGCGCUUAGAAGUGAGAAUGCCGGUGUGAGUAGCGAAAGACGGGUGAGAAUCCCGUCCACCGAUUGACUAAGGUUUCCAGAGGAAGGCUCGUCCGCUCUGGGUUAGUCGGGUCCUAAGCUGAGGCCGACAGGCGUAGGCGAUGGAUAACAGGUUGAUAUUCCUGUACCACCUAUAAUCGUUUUAAUCGAUGGGGGGACGCAGUAGGAUAGGCGAAGCGUGCGAUUGGAUUGCACGUCUAAGCAGUAAGGCUGAGUAUUAGGCAAAUCCGGUACUCGUUAAGGCUGAGCUGUGAUGGGGAGAAGACAUUGAGUCUUCGAGUCGUUGAUUUCACACUGCCGAGAAAAGCCUCUAGAUAGAAAAUAGGUGCCCGUACCGCAAACCGACACAGGUAGUCAAGAUGAGAAUUCUAAGGUGAGCGAGCGAACUCUCGUUAAGGAACUCGGCAAAAUGACCCCGUAACU